GUGAACGCUGGCGGUAGGCCUAACACAUGCAAGUCGAACGGCAGCACAGUAAGAGCUUGCUCUUACGGGUGGCGAGUGGCGGACGGGUGAGGAAUACAUCGGAAUCUACUUUUUCGUGGGGGAUAACGUAGGGAAACUUACGCUAAUACCUCAUACGACCUACGGGUGAAAGCAGGGGAUCUUCGGACCUUGCGCGAUUGAAUGAGCCGAUGUCGGAUUAGCUAGUUGGCGGGGUAAAGGCCCACCAAGGCGACGAUCCGUAGCUGGUCUGAGAGGAUGAUCAGCCACACUGGAACUGAGACACGGUCCAGACUCCUACGGGAGGCAGCAGUGGGGAAUAUUGGACAAUGGGCGCAAGCCUGAUCCAGCCAUACCGCGUGGGUGAAGAAGGCCUUCGGGUUGUAAAGCCCUUUUGUUGGGAAAGAAAAGCAGCAGGUUAAUACCCCGCUGUUCUGACGGUACCCAAAGAAUAAGCACCGGCUAACUUCGUG
rnacentral:rRNA from 1 species